AUUAUUGGGCGUAAGCGCGCGCAGGCGGUUUCUUAAGUCUGAUGUGAAAGCCCACGGCUCAACCGUGGAGGGUCAUUGGAAACUGGGGAACUUGAGUGCAGAAGAGAAAAGCGGAAUUCCACGUGUAGCGGUGAAAUGCGUAGAGAUGUGGAGGAACACCAGUGGCGAAGGCGGCUUUUUGGUCUGUAACUGACGCUGAGGCGCGAAAGCGUGGGGAGCAAACAGGAUUAGAUACCCUGGUAGUCCACGCCGUAAACGAUGAGUGCUAAGUGUUAGAGGGUUUCCGCCCUUUAGUGCUGCAGCUAACGCAUUAAGCACUCCGCCUGGGGAGUACGGUCGCAAGACUGAAACUCAAAAG
rnacentral:rRNA from 1 species